rnacentral:rRNA from 1 species
AACGAACGUUAGCGGCGCGCCUAAUACAUGCAAGUCGAGCGAGAAAGGGAUUCGUCCCCAGUAAAGCGGCGCACGGGUGAGUAACACGUAGGUCAUCUACCCUCGGGUGGUGGAUAACAUUCCGAAAGGAGUGCUAAUACAGCAUAACACCGCAAGGACAAAGCGGGCCUCUCUAUAGAAGCUCGCGCCAGAGGAUGAGCCUGCGGCCCAUCAGCUAGUUGGCAGUGUAAAAGACUACCAAGGCUAAGACGGGUAGCUGGUCUGAGAGGAUGAACAGCCACACUGGAACUGAGACACGGUCCAGACUCCUACGGGAGGCAGCAGUAGGGAAUCUUGCGCAAUGGGCGAAAGCCUGACGCAGCGACGCCGCGUGAGUGAUGAAGGCCUUCGGGUUGUAAAGCUCUGUGGGGAGAGAAGAAUAAGUGCAAGCUAAUACUUUGCAUGAUGACGGUAUCUCCUUAGCAAGCACCGGCUAACUCUGUGCCAGCAGCCGCAGUAA